rnacentral:rRNA from 1 species
AGAGUUUGAUCCUGGCUCAGAUUGAACGCUGGCGGCAUGCCUUACACAUGCAAGUCGAACGGCAGCGCGGGGGCAACCCUGGCGGCGAGUGGCGAACGGGUGAGUAAUACAUCGGAACGUGUCCUGGAGUGGGGGAUAGCCCGGCGAAAGCCGGAUUAAUACCGCAUACGCUCUGAGGAGGAAAGCGGGGGAUCUUCGGACCUCGCGCUCAAGGGGCGGCCGAUGGCGGAUUAGCUGGUUGGUGGGGUAAAGGCCCACCAAGGCGACGAUCCGUAGCUGGUCUGAGAGGACGACCAGCCACACUGGGACUGAGACACGGCCCAGACUCCUACGGGAGGCAGCAGUGGGGAAUUUUGGACAAUGGGGGCAACCCUGAUCCAGCAAUGCCGCGUGUGUGAAGAAGGCCUUCGGGUUGUAAAGCACUUUUGUCCGGAAAGAAAUCCUCUGGGUGAAUACCCCGGGGGGAUGACGGUACCGGAAGAAUCAGCACCGGCUAACUACGUGCCAGCAGCCGCGGUAAUACGUAGGGUGCGAGCGUUAAUCGGAAUUACUGGGCGUAAAGCGUGCGCAGGCGGUGCUGUAAGACCGAUGUGAAAUCCCCGGGCUUAACCUGGGAACUGCAUUGGUGACUGCAGCGCUGGAGUAUGGCAGAGGGGGGUGGAAUUCCACGUAGCAGUGAAAUGCGUAGAGAUGUGGAGGAACACCGAUGGCGAAGGCAGCCCCCUGGGCCAAUACUGACGCUCAUGCACGAAAGCGUGGGGAGCAAACAGGAUUAGAUACCCCCGUAGUCC